UCCUUAGAUGUUCUGGGCCGCACGCGCGCUACACUGACGAAUGCAACGAGCUUAUAACCUUGGCCGAAAGGUCUGGGUAAUCUCCAAAUUUCGUCGUGAUGGGGAUAGAUUAUUGCAAUUAUUAAUCUUCAACGAGGAAUGCCUAGUAAGCGCAAGUCAUCAGCUUGCGUUGAUUACGUCCCUGCCCUUUGUACACACUGCCCGUCGCUCCUACCGAUUGAAUGGUCCGGUGAAGCGUUCGGACCGUGGCCUUUGGACGGUUCGCCGUCUGUUGGCUGCGGGAAGUUCGUUAAACCUUAUCAUUUAGAGGAAGGAGAAGUCGUANCA
rnacentral:rRNA from 1 species